rnacentral:rRNA from 1 species
UGGGGAAUUUUGGACAAUGGGCGCAAGCCUGAUCCAGCAAUGCCGCGUGAGUGAAGAAGGCCUUCGGGUUGUAAAGCUCUUUUGUCAGGGAAGAAACGACUCCUUCUAAUACAGGGGGUUAAUGACGGUACCUGAAGAAUAAGCACCGGCUAACUACGUGCCAGCAGCCGCGGUAAUACGUAGGGUGCAAGCGUUAAUCGGAAUUACUGGGCGUAAAGCGUGCGCAGGCGGUUGUGCAAGACCGAUGUGAAAUCCCCGGGCUUAACCUGGGAAUGGCAUUGGUGACUGUACGGCUAGAGUGUGUCAGAGGGGGGUAGAAUUCCACGUGUAGCAGUGAAAUGCGUAGAGAUGUGGAGGAAUACCGAUGGCGAAGGCAGCCCCCUGGGAUAACACUGACGCUCAUGCACGAAAGCGUGGGGAGCAAACAGG